UACGGGGGGAGCAAGCGUUGUUCGGAUUUACUGGGCGUAAAGGGCGCGUAGGCGGUCAGCACAAGUCAGUUGUGAAAUCUCCGGGCUUAACCCGGAAAGGUCAACUGAUACUGUGCGACUAGAGUGCGGAAGGGGCAACUGGAAUUCUCGGUGUAGCGGUGAAAUGCGUAGAUAUCGGGAGGAACACCAGUGGCGAAGGCGACUUCCUGGCCUGUUCUUGACGCUGAGGCGCGAAAGCUAGGGGAGCAAACGGG
rnacentral:rRNA from 1 species